rnacentral:lncRNA from 1 species
AGGUAAGGAUGACAAAGCUUGGAGUAUGUAUAUUGACGACAGUAGAAGUUGGUUCUUACAUAAUGAUGAACAUCGGAACCGAACCGACGGAGGUAUUCAACGCGGAAGUGUCAUCGGUAUUUUAUUGAAUCUUGAAAAACAUCUGAUGUGUUAUUAUGUGGAUGAACAGCCACAUGGACCAAUUGCAUUUAAUGAUCUCCGUGGGGUAUUUUUCCCAGCAGUCAGUAUUAACAGAAAUGUUCAAGUGACACUCAGGACAGGUCUAGUCCCACCGCCUGAAUGUGAAACUGAAGAUAAAUGAAUUUUACAAAAGGGAGAUAAUUUUGUCUGUGAUGUUGUUAUUUAUGACUUUAUACUUUUAAGAAUGGUCUUAUGGUGGCAGCAUAAUUUAUAUAAUGAAGAUUCAUAAUGAAAAAUAUAAAGCAUUCUGGGAAAUAUUUUUGAAUGCUUACAUCAAAAUGUUCAACAACAUUGUAAACCAUGGAAAUUCUAC